rnacentral:rRNA from 1 species
UACGAAGGGGGCUAGCGUUGCUCGGAAUGACUGGGCGUAAAGGGCGCGUAGGCGGUUUGUACAGUCAGGUGUGAAAUUCCCGGGCUCAACCUGGGGGCUGCACUUGAUACGUAUGAACUGGAGUGGGGAAGAGGGUCGUGGAAUUCCCAGUGUAGAGGUGAAAAUUCGUAGAUAUUGGGAAGAACACCGGUGGCGAAGGCGGCGACCUGGUCCUUGACUGACGCUGAGGCGCGAAAGCGUGGGGAGCAAACAGG